rnacentral:rRNA from 1 species
UACAGAGGUCCCAAGCGUUGUUCGGAUUCACUGGGCGUAAAGGGUGCGUAGGCGGUCGGAUAAGUCUGAUGUGAAAUCUUCGAGCUCAACUCGGAAACUGCAUCGGAAACUAUUCGGCUAGAGGAUUGGAGGGGAGACUGGAAUUCUCGGUGUAGCAGUGAAAUGCGUAGAUAUCGAGAGGAACACCAGUGGCGAAGGCGAGUCCCUGGACAACUCCUGACACUGAGGCACGAAAGCUAGGGGAGCAAACAGG